CCCUCCCAGCCCCGCGCCGUCCCCUCACGGAGCUCCCGCCGCCCGGCCCCGCGCCUGCGCGGUGCGCGCGGCGCCAUCCGGGUCCCGGCGCGGCCAUGGCGACGGUGGCGGAGCUCAAAGCAGUUUUAAAGGACACCCUGGAAAAAAGAGGAGCUCUUGCCCAAAUCAAGGCGAGGAUCAGAGCUGAAGUGUUCAGUGCCCUGGAGGACCAGAGCGAGCCGCGGCCCACGCUGUCCCGGGAGAACCUCCUGAUCAAUGAGCUCAUUCGGGAGUACCUGGAGUACAACAAGUAUAAAUACACAGCAUCCGUUCUGACGGCAGAAUCUGGCCAGCCUGAAGUGCCCCUGGAUAGACAAUUUCUUGCCAAAGAGCUGAACAUAGUUGAAGAUGCAAGUGGAAAAUCAGUCUUCAGGAUGCCAAACAUGAGGCUGUUUUCAGACAUACUCCAAACUAACACUGCAUUCUGCCAACACUGUGGCAUUCUCCAGACAGUGCCCUUGUGCACCAAAACACAGCUCUCUUACCAGUACAGUCUACAGAAGCAGACCUCUCCUGUAUGGAAUUCUCUCACAUUUCUUGCACGGUGGUAAAGAAGAAAGUACCCAGAAUAUCCUUCCAAAAGUGUCCUUGCUGAAUUACCCAAAGCAGAACCUUGGCAAACCAGCUGCUGAGAGAAAUCAAAAAGACAGAAUUCCAGAACCAGGAAGGAUGGCUGGCAUGAGCUUCGAAGAGCCUCUUAUUUUACAAAGUAUAAAGAGAUGAUAUCUUUCAUUUUGUAAUUUCUCAUUUCCAAGGUCUGUCAGAUUUAAUUUAGGACAUUCUUCAUUGCACAAAUUUCUUCAAUAAAUCCAGUGGGACCAUUUUAGCUUGUAAUAUCUACUCAUGAGACAGGAUGACAAGGUCAUGCUUACUGUCAAUUUAAAAAAUGUUAGCAAAGCUCUCUUUCCACACUGCUGAUAGAAGGAAGACUGUAUAGGGACUCACCUUAGUGAAUCCUGUAUCUAGAAUUGCACCUGAAUAUACUGAGUUUAUCCAAUAAAUUUUUAUAUAAUAACUUAUAAUUUUUACUUUUAUAUCCUUUUGUGUUUUUUCUGUGUUUCUGAAUAAAAUUUUUUAAUUUUA